rnacentral:tRNA from 1 species
GUUUAAUUAGUUUAUUAAAAUAGUAAAUUGUGGAUUUACAGAUGAUUUUUCAUUAAACA